GCUUGUCUCAAAGAUUAAGCCAUGCAUGUCUAAGUGUAAAUAAGUCUAUACUGUGAAACUGCGAAUGGCUCAUUAAAUCAGUUAUCGUUUAUUUGAUGAUCUCUUACUACUUGGAUAACCGUAGUAAUUCUAGAGCUAAUACAUGCACAAAAUCCCGACUUACGAAGGGAUGUAUUUAUUAGAUAACAAACCAAUAUUCUUCGUGUCUAUUGUGAUGACUCAUAAUAACUGAUCGAAUCGCAUGGUCCUUGACCGCGAUAAAUCAUUCAAGUUUCUGCCCCAUCAGCUUUCGAUGGUAGUGUAUUGGACUACCAUGGCUUUAACGGGUAACGGAGGAUUAGGGUUCGAUUCCGGAGAGGGAGCCUGAGAAACGGCUACCACAUCUAAGGAAGGCAGCAGG
rnacentral:rRNA from 1 species